rnacentral:lncRNA from 1 species
UAUCAAUUCCCCCAAUGCCUCCUAAGUUUUAUAUUCACACCUAUAAACAUUUUAUUUGGACACAAAUUACCAAAGGCUAAUAUGGCAAAACUAAUAAGUCAUCCCAACAAAAUGAUAGCACAAAAGAAUCAAAAGAAACACAUGUUAAUCAUGGAAUAAAAAUUGAUAGAGUUGCUGACUUUGUAUUUUUAUUGAUGAGAAUUCGAUUUCUUCCCUCAUUUUCCUUCCCUUAGCC